rnacentral:rRNA from 1 species
UACGGGGGGGGCAAGCGUUGUUCGGAAUUACUGGGCGUAAAGGGCUCGUAGGCGGCCAACUAAGUCGGACGUGAAAUCCCCAGGCUCAACCUGGGAACUGCGUCUGAUACUGGAUGGCUUGAAUCCGGGAGAGGGAUGCAGAAUUCCAGGUGUAGCGGUGAAAUGCGUAGAGAUCAUGAGGAAGACCAGUGGCGAAGGCGGGUCUCUGGACAGUUCCUGACACUGAGGCACGAAGGCCAGGGGAGCAAACGGG